rnacentral:tRNA from 1 species
GGUUGUGGCUCAGUGGUAGAGUACUUGCCUAGCACAUGUGAGGCACUGGGUUCAAUUCUCAGCACCA